CGUCGUAGGAUAAGGUUUGAUUUUGUGUAGGAUGUAUGAAUAAACUGACUGUUGGGUUAUGACAGCGAGUUCGAAACAAUAUUCAGAUGCAAAACUAUUAAAGGUUGUAGAUACAAAAACACAAAGUAACGAACGAGGAAUUUUACAACUUUUUAAAACACUGCUUGAAAGUUGCCAGGACAAUUUAUCAUUGUACCAAAAGAAAUUCGUCAAAUGCCAGCUUUUCAUCACUGAGUGAGAUGGAGGCCUAUCAAGUCUGAAGAGCAAGUCUCUGGGAUGGGAAGGAAAGACUAUAGAGAACUUGAAGUUCAUUAUCUCGCAUAAAGUUCAGCUUUCUAAAACUCUUCUUGAAAGCGGAAGAGACAAUUAACAAUUAUACAUCAAAAGACAUGCGGAGUUAUUUGUCCGAUUAUGCAUCACUGAGAGAGGUGGAUGAUUGAGUCUAAAGAGCAAUUUUCUAAAUCAUUGCUUGAAAGAGUCAUUGCAUCAAACGGACAUUGUUAUUAGUCUGGUGCCUCACGGAGUGAGAUGGAAGCCUAUAUAGUGUAAAGACUGAUCCUCUGCUAAUAAGUGCUAAUACAAUACAAUGCAGCAAUAAUCGCGAAAGUCGUUCAGGUUCAUUCGUGGGCCGUUUUUCCGGAGUUCCUAACAUUUCAAAUUU